GAAGGCAGCAGGCGCGCAAAUUACCCAAUAGCAACACGCUGAGGUAGUGACAAUAAAUACUGAUCGGGGGCUCAUUUGGGCCUCCGAAUCGGAAUGAGUACAAUUUAAAUCCCUUAACGAGGAACAAUUGGAGGGCAAGUCUGGUGCCAGCAGCCGCGGUAAUUCCAGCUCCAAUAGCGUAUAUUAAAGUUGUUGCAGUUAAAAAGCUCGUAAUUGAACCUUGGGCUUGGAUGACCGGUCCGCCCCACCGCGUGUACUGGUUCGUCCGAGCCUUUCCUUCUAGGGAACCUCAUGCCCUUCACUGGGUGUGUUUGGGGAACUAGGACUUUUACUUUGAGAAAAUUAGAGUGUUCAAAGCAGGCCUAUGCUCGAAUACUUCAGCAUGGAAUAAUAGAAUAGGACGUGCGUCCUCAUUUUGUUGGUUUCUGAGGAUGCCGUAAUGAUUAAUAGGGAUAGUCGGGGGUGUCAGUAUUCAAUUGUCAGAGGUGAAAUUCUUGGAUUUAUUGAAGACUAACUACUGCGAAAGCAUUCACCAAGGAUGUUUUCAUUAAUCAGUGAACGAAAGUUAGGGGAUCGAAGACGAUCAGAUACCGUCGUAGUCUUAACCAUAAACUAUGCCGACUAGAGAUUGGAUGGUGUUAUUCUAUUGACCCAUUCAGCAUCUUGUGAGAAAUCAAAGUGUGGUUCUGGGGGGAGUAUGGUCGCAAGGCUGAAACUUAAAGAAAUUGACGGAAAGGCACCACAAGGCGUGGAGCCUGCGGCUUAAUUUGACUCAACACGGGGAAACUCACCAGGUCCAGACAUGCGAAGGAUUGACAGAUUGAGAGCUCUUUCUUGAUUGUAUGGUUGGUGGUGCAUGGCCGUUCUUAGUUGGUGGAGUGAUUUGUCUGCU
rnacentral:rRNA from 1 species